GCUGCUACUCGUACGCAAUGGGCAUAUGAGUGGUGAUUGGAUGUGUGAGUCGGCAGGCUCCGUGCUACUUGCAUCGAACUGUCGUUCCGCACUCCUCUUCAAUAUCUCCCCUCGCGGUCGUUGUACCCGAGGGGUGCGAUGGGAAUCCUGUGUUGCCUACCUAAAUCGAUGGAAUCUCGGAUGUGUUGCUGUCCCUUUAUCCGUCCAAUGCCUUUUGAGGGCUGCGUGAUGGACCCCGAUCUUGCCCUUUGUCCCGGUCGAGCCGCUGGAAUCCAUGCGGCCACGUCGGUGCAUUGGUGUUCGAUCGUGCUGUCGGAUGCGGAACGUUCUGUGGGUGAGGGCCGAUGCCCUAGUCGCUCGAUGCCUAAGCAUUUUGUCGCUUGUCGCGGACGAUGCUCGUGCAUUGUCACGGCCUCACCGCUGCCCAGGCAGCGCGUCGAGGAC
rnacentral:misc_RNA from 1 species